UAACUAAGGGGAUGUAAAACAUUGGAGCGCAAACUAGCACAGCACGAGAAAUUGAAAUAUGUUUAUUGAGGUAAAAUACACACAAAGGGAUGAGGUAGCUCAAGCUAUGCUCACCCCGUUCAGUACAUCGUGCUAAUACAUACAUAGACACACAUCACAAGCAAUAAACGUAUUACCGAACAUUCUGAGAGAUAAACAUAUACAUUAACUAGCACAGCACGAGGAUAAUGGUCGUUAAGCACUGUGACGUCACCAAUGACGCUGUGUUGGGCAAGAAGGUCAGGAGCGGGCGGCGGCUGCCACAGUGUCGGGCUGACAGCCAGCAGACGUAGUUCCUUGGGAGGUGUCCCGCUUCUUACAUCAUUUGCAGCUACACCGGUCAUCAGAAAUCCACACUCGCCUGUUAUGUAAUUCACGGAAGGAAUUAUUUCUGAAUUACUUUGGUUAAGACCGGGUAUUGGUGUGGUUCGACAAUCGCCACGAGUCUUCUUGAGAAACUUAAAGUGAACGGAGGACUAGUCAGGCGCACAAGGCACGGAACUAGUUCUGACGUGACGUAGUUGCAAGUCUCGAUAGAGGUGGUUGGACGGUGUUGAACACGGGCGGCUGACAACGUUGCAGGAAUAUCUGAAAGAAAAGGCAAGUUGUUA